rnacentral:tRNA from 1 species
GGUUGUGGCUCAGUGGUAGAGUACUUGCCUGGCAUGUGGGAGGCACUGGGUUUGAUUCUCAGCACCA